AGUUCGAUCAUGGCUCAGAUUGAACGCUGGCGGGAUGCUUUACACAUGCAAGUCGAACGGCAGCACGGACUUCGGUCUGGUGGCGAGUGGCGAACGGGCGAGUAAUGUAUCGGAACGUGCCUAGUAGCGGGGGAUAACUACGCGAAAGCGUAGCCAAUACCGCAUACGCCCCUUCGGGGAAAGCGGGGACCUUUCGGGCCUCGCACUAUUAGAGCGGCCGAUAUCGGAUUAGCUAGUUGGUGGGGUAACGGCUCACCAAGGCGACGAUCCGUAGCUGGUUUGAGAGGACGACCAGCCACACUGGGACUGGAGACACGGCCCAGACUCCUACGGAGGCAAGGUAAUUUGACAAUAAACCGAUUCGUUUCAUCCGCAAGUGGCGUGAUGAAGGCCUUUAAUUGGUAAAACACCUCUGGCAGAAGAACGGCCGGAUAAUACUCGCAACUGAUCAAAUUAUAGAGAAUGUGCGUCGCCAUCCAUGCCAGCCGUAUGCCGCAAGUGUUACGUAGGGUGCGUGGCGCAUAUCAUGAAUUUUACAUCAGCAAAAUGGCGGCAGCCGGAAGAAAAAGAUGAAACGGCUUAACUGAACCGUAGCUUUAACUACCGAGGCUAGAGUGCACGAGGAGGUGAUCUAAAAAAGUGAGCCAGGCAUGAGGAACCGAUGGCGAAGGCGGCCCUAACACAAACACUUGACGCCCGCCGGAGCGUGGGGAGCAAACAGAUUAGAUACCCCAGUCCACGCCCUAAACGAUGUCAACUAGCUGUUGGGGCCUUGGCCCGGUAGCGCAGCUAACGCGUGAAGUUGACCGCCUGGGGAGUACGGUCGCAAGAUUAAAAACUCAAAGGAAUUGACGGGACUCCGCACAAGCGGUGGAUGAUGUGGAUUAAUUCGAUGCAACGCGAAAACCUUACCUACCCUUGACAUGUCUGGAAUCCCGAAGAGAUUUGGGAGUGCUCGCAAGAGAACCGAACACAGGUGCCGCAUGGCUGUCGCCGCCCGUGUCGAGAUGUUGGGUUAAGUCCCGGCAACGAGCGCAACCCUUGUCAUUAGUUGCUACGAAAGGGCACUCUAAUGAGACUGCCGGUGACAAACCGGAGGAAGGUGGGGAUGACGUCAAGUCCUCAUGGCCCUUAUGGGUAGGGCUUCACACGCUACACAAUGGUCGGGACAGAGGGUCGCCAACCCGCGAGGGGGAGCCAACUCUAGAAACCCGAUCGUAGGUCCGGAUCGCAGUCUGCAACUCGACUGCGUGGUCGGAAUCGCUAGUAAUCGCGGAUCAGCAUGUCGCGGUGAAUACGUUCCCGGGUCUUGUACACACCGCCCGUCACACCAUGGGAGCGGGUUUUACCAGAAGUAGUUAGCCUAACCGUAAGGAGGGCGAUUACCACGGUAGGAUUCACCGGGGUGAAGUCGUAACAAGGUAA
rnacentral:rRNA from 1 species